rnacentral:rRNA from 1 species
CCUACGGGAGGCAGCAGUAGGGAAUAUUGCUCAAUGGGCGAAACCCUGAAGCAGCAACGCCGCGUGGAGGAUGAAGGUCUUCGGAUUGUAAAAUCCUUUUGUUAGGGAAGAAAAUGACGGUAUCUAACGAAUAAGCACCGGCUAAAUCCGUGCCAGCAGCCGCGGUAAUACGGAGGGUGCAAGCGUUAAUCGGAAUCACUGGGCGUAAAGAGCGCGUAGGCGGGAUAGCAAGUCAGAUGUGAAAUCCUAUGGCUUAACCAUAGAAGUGCAUUUGAAACUGUUAUUCUAGAGUAUGGGAGAGGUAGGCGGAAUUCGUGGUGUAGGGGUAAAAUGCGUAGAGAUCAAGAGGAAUACUCAUUGCGAAGGCGGCCUGCUGGAACAGAACUGACGCUGAUGCGCGAAAGCGUGGGGAGCAAACAGGAUUAGAUACCCCAGUAGUC